GCGAAGAACCUUACCAAAUCUUGACAUCCUUUGACAACUCUAGAGAUAGAGUCUUCCCCUUCGGGGGACAAAGUGACAGGUGGUGCAUGGUUGUCGUCAGCUCGUGUCGUGAGAUGUUGGGUUAAGUCCCGCAACGAGCGCAACCCUUAAGCUUAGUUGCCAGCAUUAAGUUGGGCACUCUAAGUUGACUGCCGGCGACAAACCGGAGGAAGGUGGGGAUGACGUCAAAUCAUCAUGCCCCUUAUGAUUUGGGCUACACACGUGCUACAAUGGACAAUACAAAGGGCAGCUAAACCGCGAGGUCAUGCAAAUCCCAUAAAGUUGUUCUCAGUUCGGAUUGUAGUCUGCAACUCGACUACAUGAAGCUGGAAUCGCUAGUAAUCGUAGAUCAGCAUGCUACGGUGAAUACGUUCCCGGGUCUUGUACACACCGCCCGUCACACCACGAGAGUCUGUAACACCCGAAGCCGGUGGAGUAACCAUUUAUGGAGCUAGCCGUCGAAGGUGGGACAAAUGAUUGGGGUGAAGUCGUAACAAGGUAGCCGUAUCGGAAGGU
rnacentral:rRNA from 1 species